rnacentral:rRNA from 1 species
UACGAAGGGGGCUAGCGUUGCUCGGAAUCACUGGGCGUAAAGCGCACGUAGGCGGAUUGUUAAGUCAGGGGUGAAAUCCUGGAGCUCAAUCAGACUGCUUCUGAUACUGGCGAUCUUGAGUUCGGGAGAGGUGAGUGGAACUGCGAGUGUAGAGGUGAAAAUUCGUAGAUAUUCGCAAGAACACCAGUGGCGAAGGCGGCUCACUGGCCCGGUACUGA